ensembl:lncRNA
GUUUGGGGCUGGGGGCGGGGACGCUGCGCGCACCGAGCAGGGCGCGGGCGGCGGGGCGGGGCGGGGCGACCCGGGAAUCUCUGUACCCGCCGCGCGAGCGGGGAGCCCAGGCCGGGGAAAAGGCAGGAAGCGCCGACUUCAGACGCCUCCCGCAGACGAGCAACGCAGUGUGGCCACGGGCCCCCGCUCCCAGGUCGGCGCCGACCACGGAGGGCGAGCAGACGGGGCGCAGCGGCUGCUUCUAGGCUCCAGGAAGGGGAGCGGAGCCGCCCGGACGGCCCGUCACCUGCUCCGACCGCCGCUGCAGAGGGCUCUCCCCACCAAGGGACUGGGGCCGCGGCCCGGAACGGGACCUGCGAGUUUCGGCCGCCGCCUGCCAAGAUUUGGAGCCACGAACAUGCUCCCCAGAAUCAAGCGAAGAAUUUGUUAAACCGGGUUUCCCACCUGCGCCCCCAUCCCAGCGAAGAACGCUCGAUUCUAGGGACGCCAGCCGCCCGAGCACAGCCACCCCACGUUCCCAGGCGGGCACAUUGUUAAGAUCAGCGGGCCUUCGUACAAACAUCUUGACUGUGGCUGGUAAUGAAGAUGAGUCUCCUGUCUGUGGGGCGCCUGGUUAGCCACCACUAUGCCCAGUCCACCCCGUCCACCCUGCUACAAGCGGAGGCCAAGAACCGGGAGUAUGCAAGACAUUGCUCUCCAAUCUGAGUGAAAUUCCAGCUGUGGCCCUGGAAGCCAUGUGGAGAUGUGGGUGCAUUCCUUCAGCUACAGGCACAGAAGCCAGUUCACUUGGCCACUGAAGGUCCUGUUUCCGUGUGAUGUGGAGCCUGAUGAAUAUGUGGCCUCCCCUCUAGGAAUACGCCUGGGCUGCCUUUGCACACACUUACUUCAGCUGGCCUUGAACUCAAAGAUAAUCGCUUCUGUAACAAGCGAAUCACAGCCUCUCCUCCCUGUGCAAACAAGAGAACUAGCCAAAGGAAAAUAAUGAUAGGGGAAAAUCUGUCAUUCUUCAAAACUGAAAAAGGAUUCCACCCACAUACCAGACAUUUCAAGGAAUUUCUUUACGACUUGAUGCAGAUGAGACCAGUUUGAGCGAAAGGUUUGACAGCCUUCAAUUCACCUCACAGAAUAGAAAGGCCUCUCUCAGGAGGGACCCCCACCAGAACCCAGCAACACUCCCAAGGUUGGUUGUGACAAGGCUACGGACAAACAUUAAUCAUGGGAAAGUCGGGAGGGGCAAAUCUCCAUCCUCUUGGAGCAUCCAGGAAGUGUCCAGGUAUUGGGGCGCACACAGGGCAGGGAUCCCACUGAGGGGCUCAUGUUUGAUGCCUGGCACAGAGAGAACAUUGCCAAGGAGCAACAAUGAGGGCAGCCACGUGGCUCCCAGCUAGCUUUAUGUGGUUACAACAUGCAGGGCAAAGAAAGUCUUCAACAUGAAGGCGGAACUGCUCCUUUGGGAUCCUCCACCGACAACUGGCUCUUCGUUGUUUUCUGUCAUCCAUUCAUUCCACACAUCUAUGACGAGCCUGUGUUCUAGGCACUGGGUUAGGCAUGAGGGGUUCAACAAUGGACAGGAAAAGUGUUCGCUGCUUCGUGAAGCCACUCAAGCAGAAGAAUCAGGUUACCUCUGAAGGAAAAAAUAUCAUCUUGAUGUUUGCCACAUAAAUGCCAAAGACAACAAAGCAAUAUGUGUGGAAUUUUGAGGGAAAGUGAUUUUGAUGCAAUUCUGUUCCUUACACAAAAUUCUGAUAUUUUGGACAAGCAGCUGUAAAAAAGUAAACCAUUCAUGUACCACCCCAAAUGAAAUAAAGACUCCACAGAAAAUAUUCAAGCCAAGCAAAUAAACUCAAUAAUGUAAAAGAAAUGGCAGUGAAUGAUACAAGCAGUAAAACUUAAUGUUGAGCCUAACUCCUGAUUUUUAAUAUAUUGUGGCAUCAUUGUUGGAUGCCAAUAGGAUGAACAUUUUUCUUUCCUUCCUACUAAGAGAAUCCCAAUUUUGUGUGAUUGACAACAUGCCCUGACCCGAAGGAUGAAGCAAGAAAAUUCCUUGCCCGUUGUUGAUGAUUGGCUUAGGACUGAGCGUGUGACUAAGUUCUGGCCAAUGAAAUGUUAAAGAAAGUCUCCUGUUAGGUUUGGGGAGGAAUUUGUUUCUUGAUAAAGACAGGCAGUGAGGUAGCCUGACCUUUCUUCCUGCCUUUAAGAUGAUUGUCUAAGGAUGAAAUAUCUGGAGUGUGGUAUCCAUCUUGUGACCAUGAGGAGAAGGCCAAGAGAAUCUGAGAGAUGCCCGCAUAGAACUUUAAGAGCUGCUGAACCAACCCUGGAUAUGCCUCCCUUUACCCUCCUUUCCAUAUGGUGUAAUUAAAUGUCCUUAAUGUCUGAGCCACUUUUAGGUAGUCUGAUAUGUGAAGCUGAAGGUAUGGUUGGAACCUUAAUAAAACUAUUGAAGAUAAUUCUUGAAAGAAAACACAUAUAAAUGGAUUAGGAAUUGGGAUUAAAUUAUCAUAAUAAUCUAAAUCUAAAGACCAGAUUAUUGUUGUAAAAACUGAGAGGACAGGAUGGCAUAGGAGAAGGGAAAGCAAAAAUGUGCUUAUUUUGUCAUCUUUCAUUGAAGAGCAUUCAUACCUACUGUAAAAUUCUUUUCUUUGAUAGACACAUAAAUUAAUUUUAAAAAUUUAAAGAUAGCUAGUAAAAGAAUAAAAAUAGAACAUAUAACAUCCAAAUUUUUAGAGGAAAAAAGGGAGGGGGGAGAGAGAGAGAGACUGAGUUAGCAAGAAGAAUGAGGAAAAGUCCAAGAAAUGUGAAAGCCAGAAAGUGUAUAUAUGAUCAGAUGGUAGAAGUAAGAACAAAUGCUUCUGGGUUCCCAUUAAACAUGAAUAGUUUUGACUCCCCUUUUAAAAUACAAAAUCCAACUAGAAGCUUUUAAGAAAUGCACGUAACAGUGACAUAAGAAGCAAAAACAAUUGCCCUGUAAAUGCAAACCAAAAGAAAUCUGGGGAGGUAAUGUAAUUACGAGAAAACUAAAAUUUGUUGCAAAAAAUUAAUUUAUAAACAGGAUUAUUUUGGUCAAAACUACUACAAAUAUAAGGAGAGCUAUGAGGACAAAUUAUAAUCCCUUUGUGUGGUAGAUUGUCAUAUUAAUGGCCCCCAACGAAGACUUCCUGACCUCAUGCCCUUGGGUAGUCCCCUCCCACAUUGAGUCUGGGUUUGGCUGUGUGUCUUGCUUAGUUCAAUGGGACUUCAGCAAAAAGGGUGAUACAAGCAGAGACUUAAAAAACUUUGUGCAUUAGGGCUUACGCUCUUAGAAUGUUUCUAACACCAUAGGCAGAAGCCCGAUCUAGUCUAGUAGAAGAUGACAGGGUUCAUGGAGCAGAGAUAGCUCACCACUGCUGAAGCCAGCCCUGAUCCCAGCCACCAGCUGAAUUUGACUGUAAGAGUGAACCCAGCCAACUCGCAGAAUUGUGAGAAAUAAUGUCUUUGUUUUAAA